UAGGGAAUCUUCCACAAUGGACGCAAGUCUGAUGGAGCAACGCCGCGUGAGUGAAGAAGGUCUUCGGAUCGUAAAGCUCUGUUGUUGGUGAAGAAGGAUAGAGGCAGUAACUGGUCUUUAUUUGACGGUAAUCAACCAGAAAGUCACGGCUAACUACGUGCCAGCAGCCGCGGUAAUACGUAGGUGGCAAGCGUUGUCCGGAUUUAUUGGGCGUAAAGCGAGCGCAGGCGGAAUGAUAAGUCUGAUGUGAAAGCCCACGGCUCAACCGUGGAACUGCAUCGGAAACUGUCAUUCUUGAGUGCAGAAGAGGAGAGUGGAACUCCAUGUGUAGCGGUGGAAUGCGUAGAUAUAUGGAAGAACACCAGUGGCGAAGGCGGCUCUCUGGUCUGCAACUGACGCUGAGGCUCGAAAGCAUGGGUAGCGAACAGGAUUAGAUACCCUGGUAGUCCAUGCCGUAAACGAUGAGCGCUAGGUGUUGGGGACUUUCCGGUCCUCAGUGCCGCAGCAAACGCA
rnacentral:rRNA from 1 species